GCUUAAGUAGUUUAGGAAAAACGUAAGAUUUUCAUUCUUAAUUCAGAAAUUAUUUCUCUUAAGUU
rnacentral:tRNA from 2 species